CCUUCGGGUCUAGUGGCGCACGGGUGCGUAACGCGUGGGAAUCUGCCCCUUGGUUCGGAAUAACAGUUAGAAAUGACUGCUAAUACCGGAUGAUGACUUCGGUCCAAAGAUUUAUCGCCAAGGGAUGAGCCCGCGUAAGAUUAGGUAGUUGGUGGGGUAAAGGCCUACCAAGCCGACGAUCUUUAGCUGGUCUGAGAGGAUGAUCAGCCACACUGGGACUGAGACACGGCCCAG
rnacentral:rRNA from 1 species